GGAGGGAUCAUUACCGAGUUUACAACUCCCAAACCCAAUGUGAACGUUACCAAACUGUUGCCUCGGCGGGAUCUCUGCCCCGGGUGCGUCGCAGCCCCGGACCAAGGCGCCCGCCGGAGGACCAACCAAAAACUCUUUUGUAUACCCCCUCGCGGGUUUUUUAUAUCUGAGCCAUCUCGGCGCCUCUCGUAGGCGUUUCGAAAAUGAAUCAAAACUUUCAACAACGGAUCUCUUGGUUCUGGCAUCGAUGAAGAACGCAGCGAAAUGCGAUAAGUAAUGUGAAUUGCAGAAUUCAGUGAAUCAUCGAAUCUUUGAACGCACAUUGCGCCCGCCAGUAUUCUGGCGGGCAUGCCUGUCCGAGCGUCAUUUCAACCCUCGAACCCCUCCGGGGGGUCGGCGUUGGGGAUCGGCCCUUUACGGGGCCGGCCCCGAAAUACAGUGGCGGUCUCGCCGCAGCCUCUCCUGCGCAGUAGUUUGCACACUCGCAUCGGGAGCGCGGCGCGUCCAUUGCCGUAAAACACCCAACUUUCUGAAAUGUUGACCUCGGAUCAGGUAGGAAUACCCGCUGAACUUAAGCAU
rnacentral:rRNA from 1 species